GUGCUUGCUUCCGCAGCACGUGUACUAAAAUUGGAAGGAUACAGAGAAGAUGAGCAUGGCCAGGGGAUGACAUGCAAAUUCGUCCCAUAUUUUG
rnacentral:snRNA from 1 species